rnacentral:lncRNA from 1 species
UCUAGACAUCGUCAUGCUGUCCAAAACAUUAGUCGUUCUGGGCUGACCAGCUGGAGAACCUGAGGACUUGCCUGCACCGGAUACCUGCAACUGAUUGGCUUUUUCCAGGGCGAGUUCACUGAGUCUCUGUGCCAGGGCCAUGCGUCUGGAUCGAGAUGCGUAACGGAUGGCGAGCGUCACAACACUGUUUCUCUGGUGUUGCAGACAGGAGUCCAUGUGUUUCCCAAAGUCCGGUUCAGCAGACGCACAACACCCUCAGAGUCAACACAACAUGGCGUUCCUGCAAAAAACAGAAAUCAUUAAAAGGAAAUGACUCACCCUCCGCACUGAAGCCCAUCCAGGCCAGGUAGGAUUUCCGUGACAGAGGCAACGGCUCUCCAUGGAUGACCUGCCUUUUCUUCCGGCCGAGCUGAAGCAGCUGAACACCAAGAGCCUGCUCUCCAUCAAACCCGGUACCUGACAGCAUACAAGACAAUCAUCCUCAUCCAACAUGUAGACACAGAGCACAAGCAAAGACAGAUUCAUCCAUUCAGAUUCUUCGGUUUAGUGGUUGUUUAAUGGUUUUAAUGGAUUUGCAUAUUUAUUUAAUUUUAGUAAUUUCAUGUGUUAUUACAUUUGUUGCUAAAAAACAAAUAAUUUAUCUACCUACCCCUUUUUGUACAUUGUGUAAUUCAAACUCUGUGGGGACAUAUAUGCAUAUGUUUUUUGAAUGUCCAUUUAUCAGUACAUUUUGGGAUAAGGUAUUUCAAACUACUUCAGAAUUGUGUGAGAUGUUCAUUCCUAAAUACCGUAAUAUCUGUUUAUUGAAUGAUGAUUAUGAUCUAAACCUAAACACUUCUCAACGCAGGAUAUUUCAUACUGCACUAACUGCAGCCAAGAAAGUUAUAUUUAAAAUACGGCAUGAACCCUCAUUCCCAGCGGAUAA